rnacentral:lncRNA from 1 species
UAAAUGCAGCCCAUCUGCCGGCACCUUAAUUGAAACGGCUUUUACGAAAAACAAUUAUUCAUCUCCCCACCCCACAUGAACCUUAUCUUCCUCUUUCAUGUCGAGUAAAACCCAGCAGCUUGUUCGUCAAAUCCAUGGAAAUGAAGUCGUGUAAAAUGGCAUCAGGAUGUUGGUUAUUCUGCGUUGGACUGUAUUCCCUCCGUCCGACAAUAUGGGUUUUCUUUUUUCUCUUUCUUUUCUUCUUCUUUCUUUCCUUUUUUCUUUCUUUUCUUUUCUUUUUGAGCCUUUUGGGGCUCUUUUGUUGCCUGCUUGUACUCGCGCUUCUUGCGCUUUCUUCUUAACGGAAAAGACAUGCCGCUCGGCGUGUUCGAGAAAAAAUAUGAGGGUUCAGUUGACAAAGCCUUUGACCACAAAUUAUUUCAUGAAUACGUGACUAAUGUGAUCAAAAUCAUAUUCAUGAGCAAAUAUCCUUGAGUAGAAAUAUAAUAGAUAUGAAUCUAUGUCAUAUAAUUAUAUAUUAAUACAGUAAUUUAAGGUCAAAGCAUUGGUUAAAAGAAAGCUAAUACGUCCCUAUUGUUGGAUGGAGGUAGUACAACAUAAAUUAUUUAUUGCAGAAAACAAAAAAUAUACCCCUUUGAUCCAUAUUAAUGGUCUCAAAUUUGUCCAAAUAUAGAUGUAUUUAUGCCUAAAAAGCGUCGAGAUAUCUGUAAUAUUUCGACAAAAAAUUCGCACCGGAGGGAGUCACGAAUUUUUGGAUUAACGGGCUUGGGACGGCACCUGUGCACCUACGAUUU